GAGUUUGAUCAUGGCUCAGGAUGAACGCUAGCGGCAGGCCUAACACAUGCAAGUCGAGGGGUAACAUAGGAAAGCUUGCUUUUCUGAUGACGACCGGCGCACGGGUGCGUAACGCGUAUACAACCUACCUUUUAGCGGGGAAUAGCCCAGGGAAACUUGGAUUAAUGCCCCAUAGUAUAUAGACUUCUCCUGAAGUUCAUAUUAAACAUUUAUGGCUAUUAGAUGGGUAUGCGUCCUAUUAGUUAGUUGGUAAGGUAACGGCUUACCAAGGCAGCGAUAGGUAGGGGUCCUGAGAGGGAGAUCCCCCACACUGGUACUGAGACACGGACCAGACUCCUACGGGAGGCAGCAGUGAGGAAUAUUGGACAAUGGGCGAGAGCCUGAUCCAGCCAUGCCGCGUGCAGGAAGACUGCCCUAUGGGUUGUAAACUGCUUUUACAGAGGAAGAACCACCCCCACGUGUGGGGGUUUGACGGUACUCUGCGAAUAAGGAUCGGCUAACUCCGUGCCAGCAGCCGCGGUAAUACGGAGGAUCCAAGCGUUAUCCGGAAUCAUUGGGUUUAAAGGGUCCGUAGGCGGGCAGUUAAGUCAGUGGUGAAAGUCUUCCGCUCAACGGGAGAACUGCCAUUGAUACUGAUUGUCUUGAGUUAUUAUGAAGUGGUUAGAAUGAGUAGUGUAGCGGUGAAAUGCAUAGAUAUUACUCAGAAUACCGAUUGCGAAGGCAGAUCACUAAUAAUAUACUGACGCUGAUGGACGAAAGCGUAGGUAGCGAACAGGAUUAGAUACCCUGGUAGUCUACGCCGUAAACGAUGGUUACUAGCUGUUCGGCCCAAUUGAGGGCUGAGUGGUUAAGCGAAAGUGAUAAGUAACCCACCUGGGGAGUACGUUCGCAAGAAUGAAACUCAAAGGAAUUGACGGGGGCCCGCACAAGCGGUGGAGCAUGUGGUUUAAUUCGAUGAUACGCGAGGAACCUUACCAGGGCUUAAAUGUAGUCUGACAGGUCUGGAAACAGACUUUUCUUCGGACAGAUUACAAGGUGCUGCAUGGUUGUCGUCAGCUCGUGCCGUGAGGUGUCAGGUUAAGUCCUAUAACGAGCGCAACCCCUGUGGUUAGUUGCCAGCGAGUAAUGUCGGGAACUCUAGCCAGACUGCCGGUGCAAACCGCGAGGAAGGUGGGGAUGACGUCAAAUCAUCACGGCCCUUACGUCCUGGGCCACACACGUGCUACAAUGGUAGGGACAGAGAGCAGCCACUUCGCGAGAAGGAGCGAAUCUACAAACCCUAUCACAGUUCGGAUCGCAGUCUGCAACUCGACUGCGUGAAGCUGGAAUCGCUAGUAAUCGCAUAUCAGCCAUGAUGCGGUGAAUACGU
rnacentral:rRNA from 1 species